GCGCAUUAGGUCCUGUGUGUGCUCAGGUAAUAUGGUUCAGGUGAAAUUGGCGCCGACUCAUUGUAGGCAGCUGAAGAAAGGGGAGGCCACUUGGACUUGGACAAUUUCGUGAAGUCUUAUAUUGUCUUUUGAAUAAUAAAAGCCACCACAAGCCUGCAGAAUGACUUUUUUGAUGCCCUGGAUCGCUACACACCACGCUUUGUCAAAGUCCUCAAGACCAAGAAGGGAGGUGUUAGAGAGACAUUGGCUGAGUUUGUGCUGCAGAUUGAUUCAGGGGUUUGAACAGAUGCCACUGGCUGGAGAUGGAGAAAGAGACGGGGCAGCUAUGGAGUCUUAGAGUGAGCACUGAAUUUAAUCUGUCAAAAACUGUGUAGGAGAUACACUUUAGUAAAUUGUUUGUACACAUAUUACUAGCAGUACAAUUAAAAGGAAUGAUUGAGGCUUCAUGAUGAACAAAUCUGGUGAAAAUCUCUCUAGGGUUAGCACUCAUAUAUUACAUACCUGCACUGACCAACCAAUGUGAAGAAACAGGUGCAGUAGAUAUUAUGUAUGUAAGUUAUCGUGUAAAUCAUAUUUGGGUAAACAAUGUAUUUUUGGUAAUCAUGGUAUGUUGAAAUGUUUGUUCUAUGUUCAGGAAGUUGAAAGCUUUAGUAAGUUUACAUCAUAAUUGUACAGUAAAUUCAGCUGAGGACUGUGUUAAACACUGAAACAGGGUCCAACUAAAUGCGGUCAGUGUUCAUUUGCUGCCACCUAGUGACCAAACAGUCAAAUAUCAUCUGUGAGAUGUUUGAAGGGCAAAAACUCAACAUGUUGCUGGAAAAUUAACACGUCUAACUACUGCCAAUAAUCCAUUGAUUGGUGAUGUCUACAGUGUGAGUAUUAACAGAUCUGUGUCCAGUUAAAUAAAAGAGAUUACAAGAGA